rnacentral:rRNA from 1 species
UACGGGGGGGGCAAGCGUUGUUCGGAAUUACUGGGCGUAAAGGGCGCGUAGGCGGCCAUCUAAGUCAGACGUGAAAUCCCUCGGCUCAACCGAGGAACUGCGUCUGAUACUGGAAGGCUUGAAUCCGGGAGAGGGAUGUGGAAUUCCAGGUGUAGCGGUGAAAUGCGUAGAUAUCGGGAGGAACACCUAUGGCGAAGGCAGCUCGCUGGGACGUUACUGACGCUGAGACGCGAAAGCGUGGGGAGCAAACAGG